GAUGAACGCUGACAGAAUGCUUAACACAUGCAAGUCGACUCGAGUCUUCGGACUUGGGUGGCGCACGGGUGAGUAACGCGUAAAGAACUUGCCUCUUAGACCGGGACAACAUCUGGAAACGGAUGCUAAUACCGGAUAUUAUGGUUUUUUCGCAUGGAGGAAUCAUGAAAGCUAGAUGCGCUAAGAGAGAGCUGUGCGUCCCAUUAGCUAGUUGGUGAGGUAACGGCCCACCAAGGCAAUGAUGGGUAGCCGGCCUGAGAGGGUGAACGGCCACAAGGGGACUGAGACACGGCCCUUACUCCUACGGGAGGCAGCAGUGGGGAAUAUUGGACAAUGGACCACAAGUCUGAUCCAGCAAUUCUGUGUGCACGAUGACGUUUUUCGGAAUGUAAAGUGCUUUCAGUCGGGAAGAAGUCAGUGACGGUACCGACAGAAGAAGCGACGGCUAAAUACGUGCCAGCAGCCGCGGUAAUACGUAUAUCGCAAGCGUUAUCCGGAUUUAUUGGGCGUAAAGCGCGUCUAGGCGGCAAGGAAAGUCUGAUGUGAAAAUGCGGAGCUCAACUCCGUAUGGCGUUGGAAACUGCCUUACUAGAGUACUGGAGAGGUAGGCGGAACUACAAGUGUAGAGGUGAAAUUCGUAGAUAUUUGUAGGAAUGCCGAUGGGGAAGCCAGCCUACUGGACAGAUACUGACGCUAAAGCGCGAAAGCGUGGGUAGCAAACAGG
rnacentral:rRNA from 1 species